CCCUCCCCUCGCCCCCGGCAAGCUCCAUUCUGCUGUCUCUAUGAGUUUGCCCAUUCUGGAUACCUCAUGUGAGUGCAGUCAUACAGAGUUUGUCUUUUUGUGUCUGGCUUGUUUCACUCAGCAUAAUGUCUUCAAGGAGCAUCCAUGUCAUAGCAUGUGUCAGGAUUUCCUUCCUUUUUAAAGGGAAUAUUCCAUUGUAUGGAUAGACUGCGUUUUGCUUAUCCAUUCAUCCAUCGAUGGACACUUGGAUCGCUUCCAUGUUUUAGCUAUUUGGCUGCACCAUUUUACAUUCUAAUCAACAAUGCAUAAAGGUUCCCGUUGCUCCACGUUGUCGCCAGCACUGCUUUUCUGUUUGUUUGACAGCAGCCAUCCCAGUAGUGUGAGGUGGGAUCUCAUUGUGGCUUUGAUUUGCAUUUCCCUGAUGAUCAGUGAUGUCGAGUAUCUUUUCAUGUGCUUAUUGGAUGUUUGUGUAUCUUCUCUGGGGAAAUGUCUAUUCAGGUCCUUGACCCAUUUUCAAAUGAUCAAGGAGUGUCCCCAAGUCAGUCCCAGUGCUCUCAGCUCUGAUGCAUGCUGCACCUGCAGUCAUGGCCAUGUUCGUUGAUGUGUGUGUGAAAUUCUGCAUAAUAUAUACUGUACCAUUUUGUGUUGGUUUUUUUUAGGAAGAUUGGCCCUGAGCUCACAUCUGUAGCCAGUCUUCCUCUUUUUUCCCCCCCAAAGCCCCAGCGCAUAGCUGUAUAUCCUAGUUGUGAGUCAUUCUAGUUCUUCUGUGUGGGAUGCUGCCUCAGCAUGGCUGAUGAGCGGUGCCAUGUCUGUGCCCAGGAUCUGUACUGGCAAACCCUGGGCCACCGAAGCGCAGCACGAACGUAGCCAUUCAGCCACAGGCCAGCCCCUAUAACUCACUGUUUUAAUAUCAUGAAAGGGGUUUUUAUUUUUUGUUGAGGUUUUUUUGUUGUUGAAUUUGUGGAGGUUUCUUUUUUUUUUAUUGUUGAGCUCUAGGAUUUUAAAAAAUAUAUUCUGGAUACUAAUCCUUGAUCAGAUUUAUAAUUUGCAUAUAUUUUCUCCCCUUCUGUGGGUUGCCUUUUAACUGGUACACACGAGUUUUUAUUUUGAUGAUGUCCAAUUGGUCUAUUUCUUCUUUUCUUGCUUUUGUUUUUGGAGUCUUAUCUAAGAAUCCAUUGUCAAAUCCAUGGUUAUGAAGAUUUACCCUUAUUUUUUUUCUAACAGUUUUAUGGUUUUAGUUCUUAUAUUUAGGUCAUUGAUCCAUUUUGAGUUAAUUUUUUGUAUACUAUACUAUAUAUAUGUAUACAUAUAUAUAUGUAUAAUAUAAAAU
rnacentral:lncRNA from 1 species